AGACGCCCGGCGGGGCGACCCCUCCCACCAGCACCCGGGCACCCGGAGGAGCGAGGGCGCGAAGGCCUCACCUUUUGGGGGGCGGGUCCGGGAUGGGGGGACUGAGCCUCCCUCUCUCUCCUCCCUGGGGACUUUCCUCGACCCCCAUCUCCUGGGGUAUCCCCCGUUUCAAUCUGCCGCCCAGGGUGACCCCACCCCUGCUCUCCCGCGGGUAUUCCACGUGUCCAUAGCAUUUACGUCAUAAUGACCUGGCCGACAGGUGGGAGCCGCAGCGAGCGCUCCAGGGUUCCCUCCGUGCUGUGCGUGGUGCGUCCUCCUUGCUUCCACGUAAGAUUUCUGUGGCUUUAGGAAAGAGGAGACUUCAUGACUUCCGUGCUAAGAAAAGUUACAGAGGCCUGCGCCUGGAAAUUAACUUUGAGCUUAAAGGAAAAAGGCUGUGUCAAAAAACAACAACAACUGUGCCAAGGUGAAAACUUCGUGAAACAUCAUGGAUGCUGAAAGUGGCUUCGAAGACAAUAUCUAAAAGUGAACAGAUAAGUGAUACAAGCCCUAUCUGAUCAACAUGGCACUGAAAUUCCUUGGGCUCCCAGAGAGUUUAAGGGUGAAGAUCCUUGGCAAGCUGUGGUGUUGGCUGAAAGCCAGGAGAACUUGGAACAAGCAGAGGAAGAAUCUAUCUCAUAUGUCAGCAGCACUCCUGUGAAUGCCUGCAGAAUGGAGGACUGUAGCUUGCACCAGUAUUUUGCUUGCUAAGUAUUUAUUCUCAUGUUUCCUUUUAAAAUGAGAAUUAUACUAAUUAUUUUUUUUCUUUUCUUGCCUCUUUCUUUUUUCCGGGGAUAUGUAAUGUUAUCCAGGUAAUGGUUCAAUUUAUCAUGUGGUUCAUAGGCUGUAGAAUACUGAAAUGGGAUUCUGACAGAAUUCAAGAGGAAUGGACAUAAGCCAGAGGUCCUGGACUUGAAGGCCAGCAUCUCCUUUCUGUGUGCAGUGGCUGGAAAUAACUUUGGUUGUUCCCCACUGUGGUUGUGUGAGAUUUGGUUGGAUCAUGUGUUUUGAGUUGUUGGGGUUUUUUUGGAUAUAGGGGAAAAAAGGACAUGUGUGUGUGCGUGCAUGUGUGUGCCCGUGUGUCUGUUGGACAGCCAAAGGGUGAAUUGGAGCACAUGGCUUUGGGGUUGUAUGGUCGACAAUGUGGCCCUGGAAGCAGAUGAUCCUCCUCCUGACAUAUGGCCAGAAGGUCAGUAGUGCCCCAACACUGCUGUGUCAUGAUGCCCACAUCAUUCACCUCACUUCAUCUCUUCAUGCAGGCAUUUUAUUCUCUCAUAUCAUCACAGGAAGGGUGAGGACAGUACAAUAAGGUAUUUUGAGAGAGAGAGAGAGAGGCCACAUUCACAUAGCUUUUACUACAGUAUAUUGUUACAGUGGUUCUACUUUAUUAUUUAUUGUUAUUAAUCUCUUACUGUGCCUAAUGUAUAAAUUAAACUUUAUCAUAGGUAUGUAUAGGAAAAAACAUAGUAGAGUUAGGGUUUGGUACUGUCCACAGUAUCAGGCAUCCACUGGGGGUCUUGGAAUGUACCCCCUGUGGAUAAGGGGGCUACUGUACAUAGACCUGGAGUGAUGGCAAAACAAAUGGAAAUACAGAAGCUGGACAAAGACCUGCAGUGCUAGCUUCCUCUUGUUUGUACAGUUUUACUGAUCUCCCUGCCACGGGACAAAGAUAGAUGUGGUAGUGGAUACAGGCCAUAAAGAAACUUGCCAAAUAAACACAAUUUUAUAUUGGUGGCUUUGGGUAUAUUAUUCAAUAAUGUCACUUCUUCCUGUUUAUUUUCAUUUACUGGCCUCAUUGAAAUCUUUCUCCUCAUUGAAAUCUAAUACUCUGUAUUAUAUAUAUUAAUGCAGCAGUUCUCAAAUUUCAGUAAUCCUAACAAUUACCUAAGGGGUGUUUGUUAAAAUGCAGAUCCUGCACCUGCCCCUCAAGGGUUUGAAGUUACUAGGUUUAAGGUAGGACCCAGGAAGCUCUACUGUUAAUAAGAACCAGGAUUUUCAAAUGCAUUUGGUCAUUGGUUGAGUGACCAUAAAAAUUAUUUUCUAAAUCAGGACACUUCUGAGUGAAGUGAGUUGCUACUAAUAAUUACUCUGGAAGGACAGGUACAAAUGAGCACAAUCCCAGGUAAUCCAUGCAUGGCCAGUCAUCGAUCACAUUUGAGAAACACUGCUAAGUGAGAUUAAAUUAAAACUGAUUGUGGUAUAAAUGUCUUUGUUAUAUAUGACAAAUUUUAAACUCGAGAAAAAAAAAUAGAUGGAAGUCUAUUUAUUUUUCAGAUGGGGGACUACCUCCCUGCUGUACCCCAGAAAAUUAAUAUAACCUUUGGUAGGCUUGUUUUGCCCAAUGAUUUUUGAGAUAGUUCAAGUACUUUUAAAUCACAAAAAUUCUUUUUGUUUUCUCUUCCUCCUUCCCCUUUUAUCCGUCCCUCCUUUCCCUCUCUACCUUCCUUCCCUCACCCAUUUAUUUAUUAAAUGAAAUUGAAUAAUCCAGAGGACUGAGAAAGUCAGAGGCUGGGAGAACACAAUCAUGGGCCUUCAUUCCUCGUACUCUCCAUAAAAUGCAGACACAGCCCAGGUCCUGGAACUGGUCUCAUUUAUUACUGUUCUAGACAGGUGUUGAGCCCAACAUCAUUAAAAAUAAAACAGAACCAAUAAGAAACCAUGUAUUUUAUUUUAAUGCUAGUUUAGCAGUUCAACCAGAAACACUUUAACCUUGAAUGUUUAAAGGACUAGUUACUUCAAAGUCUUUUAAGUGAUAUUACACUGUAGAUAUGAAAUUAUGUCUCUUUUGUCUGGCAUGAUUGUCACUGUGUUUAUAGUCACUCUUGUAGGUGAAGAUAAGGUUUCAAUUUGUUCUUUUCCAUUUAAUUUUGGGUUUGCAUUGUAGGGAACAGAUCAAGUAUGUUGGAAAAGUAGGUAUAUGCUAGAGCGGAGGAAGGCAUUAACUAUUUCAUGUGAGUAAUAAAAAAUGGCAUUUGCUUCAGAAGUAAACUAGCAAAUUACACUCGUGGUGACAUGGACAAAGUAAUGUACCUUUAAAGAUCCCUGACCUUUUGAAUUAUUUGCCUCAUAGAAAAUGAUCCCCCUCCCCAAUUUUUAAAGUUAGGGGCCUUAGGGAGAUUGGAGGAGGUUUAUAAUAUUUACCUUUUCU